ACGUGGAUAGCUCAGCCGGUAGAGUGUGAGACUCUUAAUCUCAGGGCGGUGGGUUCGAGUCCCAUGUUGGGCA